GACGAACGCUGGCGGCGUGCCUAACACAUGCAAGUCGAGCGGAGAUGUACUGAAGAUUUAUCGGAUGUACAUCUUAGCGGCGGACGGGUGAGUAACGCGUGGGCAACCUGCCUUUCACUGGGGGAUAACACAGGGAAACCUGUGCUAAUACCGCAUGACAUCACGUAGGGCAUCCUAUGUGAUCAAAGGAGAGAUCCGGUGGAAGAUGGGCCCGCGUCCAAUUAGCUGGUUGGUGAGGUAAAGGCUCACCAAGGCGACGAUUGGUAGCCGAACUGAGAGGUUGAUCGGCCACAUUGGGACUGAGACACGGCCCAGACUCCUACGGGAGGCAGCAGUGGGGAAUAUUGCGCAAUGGGGGGAACCCUGACGCAGCAACGCCGCGUGAAGGAAGAAGGUCUUCGGAUUGUAAACUUCUUUGAUGAGGACGAAUAAAGUGACGGUACCUCAAAAACAAGCCACGGCUAACUACGUGCCAGCAGCCGCGGUAAAAGUCUA
rnacentral:rRNA from 1 species